AUACAGUUGUGAAGCAGUUACAAAAAUUUACAGAAGAGAACACUGAAUUCCAGUUUGAUUGCAAUGGAAAGAUAAUUUUGGGUGCAACCAUGAAUCCUCAAUCCUCAAACACGGUUGAUACUGCAGCAUGCAGUCAAAUAUCAGCAUUCAGUCAAAUCAGCCACCAUAUGAAGAGCAAACGUCACAGUGUGACAAGCCACAAGCCCUU